rnacentral:rRNA from 1 species
UACGUAGGGGGCAAGCGUUAUCCGGAUUUACUGGGUGUAAAGGGAGCGUAGACAGCUUUGCAAGCCAGAUGUGAAAGCCCGGGGCUCAACCCCGGGACUGCAUUUGGAACUGUGUGGCUAGAGUGUCGGAGAGGCAGGCGGAAUUCCUAGUGUAGCGGUGAAAUGCGUAGAUAUUAGGAGGAACACCAGUGGCGAAGGCGGCCUGCUGGACGAUGACUGACGUUGAGGCUCGAAAGCGUGGGGAGCAAACAGG